UGGGGAAUUUUGGACAAUGGGCGCAAGCCUGAUCCAGCCAUGCCGCGUGCAGGAUGAAGGCCCUCGGGUUGUAAACUGCUUUUGUACGGAACGAAAAGCCUCUUUCUAAUAAAGAGGGGUGAUGACGGUACCGUAAGAAUAAGCACCGGCUAACUACGUGCCAGCAGCCGCGGUAAUACGUAGGGUGCGAGCGUUAAUCGGAAUUACUGGGCGUAAAGCGUGCGCAGGCGGUCUUGCAAGACAGUGGUGAAAUCCCCGGGCUCAACCUGGGAACUGCCAUUGUGACUGCAAGGCUGGAGUACGGCAGAGGGGGAUGGAAUUCCGCGUGUAGCAGUGAAAUGCGUAGAUAUGCGGAGGAACACCUAUGGCGAAGGCAGUCCCCUGGGCCAGUACUGACGCUCAUGCACGAAAGCGUGGGGAGCAAACA
rnacentral:rRNA from 1 species